rnacentral:lncRNA from 10 species
AUUUUCCCUUUUCCAGAAUGUCACGUAAUUACAUAGAUAUUUUACUAUCUAUGUUAUUUUCCCUUUUCCAAAAUGUCACAUAAUGCCCACAGCAAUGAAUGCGAGUUCCUGUUGCUCCACAUCCUGACCAGCAUUUGGUGUUUUUGGUCUUGUGGAUUUUGGCCAUUCUAAUAGGUGUGUAGUGGUAUCUGACUCUUGUCUUAAUUGGCAAUUCCUAAUAACAUAUUAUACAGAGCAUCUUUUCAUAUACUUAAUUUCCAUCUGCAUAUCUGUUCAGCUUUUGCCCAUUUUUAAUUGGGUCAUUUGUUUUCUUAUUGUUGAGUUUUAAGAGUUCUUUGAAUAUUUCAUAUAUGAAUCCUUAGAUGUAUUUUGCAAAUAUAUUCUCACUGUCUGUGGUUUGUCUUUUUAUUCUCUUAACAGUAUCUUUCACAAAACAAAAGUUUUUUUAUGUUAAAGUUCAACUUCCCAAUUUUUUUCUUCGUGGAUCAUGCUUUGAUGUUGUAUCUAAAAAAAAUCACCAAAUCCGAGGUUAUCUAGAGUUUUUCCUUAUGUUAUCUUCUAGGAGUUUGAAAAUUUUGCGUUUCAUAUAUUGAUCUAAUAUCUACUUUGCAUUAACUUUUGUAAAAGGUGUAAGGUCCGUUUAUAGAUUCAUUUUUUUUUCUGCGUGGAUGUCCAGUUGUUCCAGCACCAUUUGUCCAUUGAAUUGCCUUUGCUCCUUUGUCAGAGAUCAGUUGGCUGUAUUUCAGUCUGUUUCUGGGCUCUCUGUUCUGUUUCACUGAUGUAUGUGUAUGUGUCUUCUGUUUUGCCUUCAAUUAAAAAAUAUCUAAUUGCUACCUCAAUUUGCUUAUAAAUUCUCAUUUGUAAACAGAAAAGCAUAAAUUAAUGCCUGGGUAUCUUUUAGGGUAGAUGUUGCAUUGAAUACAAUGAGCAGAAUGAGUUAUAAUCUUAAAAAAUAUAAAAAUUUGACCAUAGUGGUAACAGAUUUACACACUAGUGACAUCAAUGACAGAGUCCAUUGCAAUAUUGCUUCCUCCCAUAGCCUCAGCUCUGCUUCACACCAGGUAACUACCAAUCCCUUCUGUGCUUCAUUCAAGGAUUUCUGUGGGGUGGAAAGCAGAAAUAUCAUGAUAUCAGUGGAGAGAAGAAGGCAGUUUCCCAGGCUGGAAGCAGUCAGAUCACCAGUGGGUCCCAACACUGCUCUGUAGCAAUGCCUACAGGGUGAUAGAAACAGAGACAGGGUGCAAAUGAGAAACCAAGGAGCCUUUGAUUAGUAGUGAAAUUGUGGCACCCCAACUACAGUGGAGUGGAAUGUCCUGCUAUUCUGGAGGGGUGAUGGCUCAGGGUCAAGACUGGACUAAUUAGAAAAAAAAAUGCACUCCAGGAAUAUCAAGUCCGAAACAAAGCUCAUUUCUCAUGUGCGCUCCAGGAGUAUCAAGUCCAAAACAAAGCUCUUCAAACCACCUAGGAAGAGAAAACAGCAUGACAAGGAAAGGACCCUGAUGUCUGAGGAAGAAGGUUCACAUCCAACUCUGCCCCUGGUGUGUCACGUGCCGGCCUUGUCAACGCACACGAGAACCUGACAGGUUUUAUCCAGAAAUACAGAUUUUCCUGCCACCGAGAACUGCAAGAAAUUUCACUUGGAGUCUCCACAUAGUCAACCAUGUGAUGGCAGCAUCAGCGUAACAGAUACUAUCACAAACAUCCUGUGACUUUUAUAUUUUUUUUAAUACUUUAAAUUCUGGGAUACAGGAGCAGAACCUGCAGGCUUGUUACACAGGUAUACACAUGCCAUGGUGGUUUGCUGCACCCAUCAACCUGUCAUCUACAUUAGGUAUUUCUCCUAACCCUAACCCUCCCCUAGACCCUCACCCUGCAACAGGCCCUGGUGUGUGAUGUUCCCCUCCCUGUGUCCAUGUGUUCUCAUUGUUCAGCUCCCACUUAUGAGUGAGAACAUGGAAGUGAGGUUUUCUGUUCCUGUGUUA